rnacentral:rRNA from 1 species
RGGUUCCCCCCCUGUUUUUUGGGGGGUGGMUCCCCCCCYASCMUKUURGAUGUUCCARAAMAUUUUUCGGGAAAGUGACUCCCCCAWARCAKCUUGUGAKWUGGCCCAGAUCGUUUACCGUGAAAAAAUUAGAGUGUUCAAAGCAGGCAGAUCCAAUUUUCUGCCACCGAAUACAUUAGCAUGGGAUAAUGGAAUAGGACCCUGUCCUCCUAUUUUCAGUUGGUUUUGGCACGCGAGGACCAGGGUAAUGAUUAAUAGGGAUAGUUGGGGGCAUUAAUAUUUAAUUGUCAGAGGUGAAAUUCUUGGAUUUAUGAAAGAUUAACUUCUGYGAAAGCAUCUGCCAAGGAUGUUUUCAUUAAUCAAGAACGAAAGUUAGGGGAUCGAAGACGAUCAGAUACCGUCGUAGUCUUAACCAUAAACGAUGCCGACCAGCGAUUAGGAGACGUUGAAUACAAAACUCCACCAUCGGYCCGGUWUCCUUGGCGCGUCGSGCCCCCCCAGCAGUGCGAGGAUGCCCACAUUAUGMWCCGAC